rnacentral:rRNA from 1 species
UACGAAGGGAGCUAGCGUUGUUCGGAAUCACUGGGCGUAAAGGGUGCGUAGGCGGGUUUUUAAGUCAGGGGUGAAAUCCUGGAGCUCAACUCCAGAACUGCCUUUGAUACUGAAGAUCUUGAGUCCGGGAGAGGUGAGUGGAACUGCGAGUGUAGAGGUGAAAUUCGUAGAUAUUCGCAAGAACACCAGUGGCGAAGGCGGCUCACUGGCCCGGUACUGACGCUGAUGCGCGAAAGCGUGGGGAGCAAACAGG